UAUGGCCAUAUAACAUUGAAAUACUGGUUCCUGUAUGAUCAGUGAAGUUAAGCAACAUUAGGCCUGGUCAGUACCUAGUUAUGUGCCCACUUGGAAAUACCAGGUGCUGCAA